rnacentral:rRNA from 1 species
UUGGAGGGCGUUUACCACGGUAUGAUUCAUGACUGGGGUGAAGUCGUAACAAGGUAACCGUAGGGGAACCUGCGGUUGGAUCACCUCCUUACCAAAGA